GGGUAGGUUUAUAAUCCCAUUUAGCAGAGUCAUGUCGCUUCCAAAUGAAGAAAAUGAUAAGUCCUCUUCUUCUGAUGCUCAGGUCCAAUGGAGAACAAUUCCCAUCUUCCAGCGAUAAUCUUUAACGAUUUUACAAACUGUGGUCCAUAAAGAUCAUUCAAGUCCCCUUCUGUAAGCUUUGCACUUACUUUCUUUAUUUGUUUUGGCGUAUUUUCUCUGUCUCCAUUCUGUCUUGACGAUUGAGUUCUGCUUUACUAUUGGUAGUCCUUGCAAUAUUUUUGAAUUGUGUUGAACCCCCAGAUGUCUAUAAUAGGUACAUGCCCCAUUAAGGUUUUUAAAAUAUUCUUCUAUAGUCCUGCAAUGAGAUGCAGUUGUAGAUUGAGGAAGAUCGUUUCCUUAUAAAUACUGUAUAGUAUUAUCUAAAGCUCUCUUACUAUUCAAUUGUUUCGGUAGUAAAAAAUUGAUUGAUUAGAAGAACUACAAACCUCAAAUUUCCUUCAUAUUUGUAUUUUGAUGUUGUUUUUCCAUAUAAAUCUUCUCUUGCAAAGAAAUUCAAAGGGCUCUAAUUGUAUUCAUGGACUCUAUAACCUGCUAGCCAACUGUUCCCUGUACUAAAUCUUCAAACCCUUCAUAUAAAUGGACUGUGAUCCUUUCUGUUUUCUCCACUCAUGUGCUCACCAAUUUCGGUUGUUUUGUUUUGCUCCAUAUAGAUAAACUUAAUUGAAAUAUAUAGUCUUCACAUGUUCUCACCUGAUUUGUGUGCAUGCAAAGAUUGAUAUAGACAUGGGUUUUGGAAAUUUGCCAAAUUUACUGUGUUUCAAAAUUUCGGUAUCUUGAUGAUUCUUUUUAGGUUUGUGGGUAGUUUAGAAUUUAGUUUGAGAGGUUGUGGUGGAAGUUGAAAUGUUUCUUCGUUGUGUAGUUCUUUUAUGUUUUCUUUGAGUUGGUUGAUACAAUUAAAUUUAUAUCUGAAUCAGUUUUGAUAAAUGUUUGCCGGAUGAUCGAAAUGCUUGAGAAAAAAAUGAGAGUACUACAGAAGGCUGCUGCAAAAGGGUAAGAAUAGCUGCCGAGAGCUAUUACAAUUUUUGUUAAUUAAGGAUCGGCAACAUACUCUGGCAUUUGUAAUCCUCAAUUCUUAAACUUAUGAAGAGUGAAGUUGUAUAAAUUUUGGAGUUAAUGUUUUGAGACAUAGCUUUAAAUUUUUGUUUUCAUUUUGCUGAUUUUCGAAGUGGUUGUGGGAAGCGGUUCUUUGAACCAGAUUGAUUGAUUUCACUGAUUGCAUGUUGAGUGUGUUUUUGAAUUUUGGAAGUCGAUCUCAAAAUGUGGUGGCCUUUUGGGGAAUUCCGGGUUUUUCCAAAUCUGAAUUUGGUGUGUGUGUGUGUGUGUGUUGUGCUGAGGUUGAAUUUGAAUUUUGCACACUGUUUGGUUUCUUAUCAGCUUUCUUCACAUAUCUCUUGGUUAUUUGAAUUCUUUAAGAUGCCUGUAUUGAUUUGUGAUUUUGUUGGAUUUACUCUGGUGGAAUUUGUUCAUAUGCAUUGGUUCAUUUUAGGAUGUGAUUCCAUUCGUGUCGCCUUUGUAAUGCAUCUUCUUGUGCAAAUUAUUCAUGCCCAUUAUGGAUAAUAGUUUCAAAAUCCGCAGCGAAGCGCGGGCAAUUUUUCUUGUUCCGAAAACAAGAGUGUAUGUGAAUGCAUGGGAAAUCCACAAAGACCACAAAAUUUGGGAGAGGCCAGAGGAGUUUCUAGCAGAGAGGCUUGUGGACAGCCUGAAUGAUUUCAAAGGCCAACACUAUCAAUACAAGGAAUCACUUUUGGGAUUUGUUACUGUGGAAGAUGCAGAUUCUGCAUUUGAAUUUUCCAUGAAUUUUGUACGAGGCUUGAUACUGACAAAGACAGACAAAGCCACGCACAUACAAAACAAAUGUCAAGAUUACAAAACAACAUACUGACAACAAUUCUAACUGAAUUUGGCUUCUCAGUGUUUUCAUUAAAUUACAUAAUGAUAUUAUACUUCUUAGGUUUUCUGGUACACAUCAAAGCAUAGUAUGCAUCGAGAUAUUUUAUUUUUGGAUUUUUUGUCACUAGA